GAGGGUAUAGCUCAAGUGGUAGAGCACAUGCUUAGCAUGCACAAGGUCCUGGGUUCAAUCCCCAGUACCUCCA
rfam:Camelus ferus unplaced genomic scaffold scaffold155, whole genome shotgun sequence.